rnacentral:rRNA from 1 species
GAUGAACGCUAGCGGCAGGCUUAACACAUGCAAGUCGAGGGGCAGCACGGGUAGCAAUAUCUGGUGGCGACCGGCGCAAGGGUGCGUAACGCGUGAGCAACAUGCCCGUAUCAGGGGAAUAAUCCAGGGAAACUUGGUCUAAUACCCCAUAGCAAUUAUUUGAGGCAUCUUAAAUAAUUUAAAGCUUUGGUGGAUACGGAUUGGCUCGCGUGACAUUAGCUAGAUGGUAAGGUAACGGCUUACCAUGGCUACGAUGUCUAGGGGUUCUGAGAGGAAGAUCCCCCACACUGGAACUGAGACACGGUCCAGACUCCUACGGGAGGCAGCAGUGAGGAAUAUUGGACAAUGGAUGGAAAUCUGAUCCAGCCAUGCCGCGUGCAGGAAGACGGCCCUAUGGGUUGUAAACUGCUUUUGUAUGGGAGCAAUAAGGUCUAUGCGUAGACUGAUGAGAGUACCAUACGAAUAAGCAUCGGCUAACUCCG